GGGGAACGAGGGAGGAAGCCAUCUGGGGAGGAAUCAGAGUUCAGACGAGAAAGGAAAUUGCCCUGAGAUGAUUGAAAUGGCAAGGAGAAGGGAGAACCUGGCCAGUCCAGCUGAACAAGCGGAUGUGGGGUCGGGGGUGGCCUGGGGUCCCUGUCCUGGCUUUGGGUCUCCCUUGUACCCAUGUAGUACUAGUACUACUACUACUCAGUGACCAGCUCUGCUGACACUGGGGUCCGGCGGAGUCUGAGGGACUGGAGGGAGGCUGCCUUGUCUUCUUCCACCUCCCUGGGUGCCAGCUGGGUGGGGCAGGCAUGGAAAGCCCUCUGCAGAUGUGCAGGUCCCCCAGGAACAGAAUGGGGGUUCUAGGUGAGUGUGACCGGGGGCUUCCAUGUAACCCCACUACAGUGACCUGAAAACAGGACCAGUAACCCCAGAUCAACCGCCAGCCACACCCUGGGCACCAUCUCCCCCAGAAGUCCUUUGGUGCCCCAGGGCCAGCACCUGCUAAGGUUCUCCAGCCCCUCAGUGCUCCCUGGGGAAUAGCAGCUCAUCAGGGGUGCCGUCCAAUCCCCAAUGGGGUUUCCUGUGCGGCUCUGGAGGGCUCUGGUUCCCUCGGUCUCCAGAGAAACAUGUGAGGACAGCGAUGGUUUUGCAGUUUCUGGCGCCGCCCGCAACACAACUCCAGGUUAAUAAGAAGAGAAAGCCUCUCCUUUCACUUUCUUGCCGAAUGCCUUUCCGGGCAAAGAGAAGGGGAGGAAGAGGAAGGCUGGGGAGGGGGAAUUCAUUUCCCAGCAGGGGAUGGGGGCUGUCAGCCCUCGGGGGGCCUGGGUGGGUCUGAGGGAGACACAGAGCCUGGGAGUCCUGCAGGCCUGGCGGAGUGAGCAGGGGGGUGUGGGGGCUGGGAAGGUGGGGAGACAGGAAGGCACUUCAGGGGACCCAGGUGGGCCGAUGCCCUGUGGAUGGAGGGCACUCCGGAGGCCCAGCAAACAGAAAGCCAGAGAUGGACAAUGCUGGGAGGCGGGCGUCUAGGGUGUCAGGAUCUCUAGGCUGCCAGGACGUAGAGGAGCUAUGAGCGGCACAGCCCGCUGGGGUUGGUGGGAGGUGGCUCCGCAGGGGCCUGUCACUUGGGCUUGAGAGAGAUUUGGGUUCCAGACUGCCUUGACUGUGACCUUGCCCUGGGGGUCAGUGCCUCAUCCGAGAGAUGGACUGACUCCCCCUGCUCUGCGCUCGUCACCUGCUGGGAGGCUCAGGUGAG
rnacentral:lncRNA from 10 species